UGGGGAAUAUUGCACAAUGGGCGAAAGCCUGAUGCAGCGACGCCGCGUGAGGGAUGACGGCCUUCGGGUUGUAAACCUCUUUCAGCAGGGACGAAGCGCAAGUGACGGUACCUGCAGAAGAAGCACCGGCUAACUACGUGCCAGCAGCCGCGGUAAUACGUAGGGUGCAAGCGUUGUCCGGAAUUACUGGGCGUAAAGAGUUCGUAGGCGGUUUGUCGCGUCGUUUGUGAAAACCAGCAGCUCAACUGCUGGCUUGCAGGCGAUACGGGCAGACUAGAGUACUGCAGGGGAGACUGGAAUUCCUGGUGUAGCGGUGAAGUGCGCAGAGAUCAGGAGGAACACAGGUGGCGAAGGCGGGUCUCUGGGCAGUAACUGACGCUGAGGAACGAAAGCGUAGGUAGCGAACAGG
rnacentral:rRNA from 1 species